rnacentral:rRNA from 1 species
UACGGAGGGGGCUAGCGUUGUUCGGAAAUACUGGGCGUAAAGCGCACGUAGGCGGCUCAGCAAGUCAGGGGUGAAAUCCCGGGGCUCAACCCCGGAACUGCCCUUGAAACUGCUAGGCUAGAAUCUUGGAGAGGUCAGUGGAAUUCCGAGUGUAGAGGUGAAAUUCGUAGAUAUUCGGAAGAACACCAGUGGCGAAGGCGACUGACUGGACAAGUAUUGACGCUGAGGUGCGAAAGCGUGGGGAGCAAACAGG